ACGCCUUAAACUUAUGCGUAAGGAAAAUAACAAUUUGGGGUGAUGCCCGAAUCCUCACUGCUAAUGUGAGACGAAUUUUUGAGUGGGUAAAGGUGACCCGCCUACCUUGCGGGAUGCCUGAGAGUCGCGAUCUGCCCG
rnacentral:snRNA from 1 species